rnacentral:rRNA from 1 species
UUAGGUGCUGAAGCAAUCGGAAGUGGUUCCAAGAAAAGCCUCUAAGCUUCAGUCAUACGAGACCGUACCGCAAACCGACACAGGUGGGCGAGAUGAGUAUUCUAAGGCGCUUGAGAGAACUCGGGAGAAGGAACUCGGCAAAUUGGUACCGUAACUUCGGGAAAAGGUACGCCCUUGUAGCUUGGCUGAUUUACUUCAGUAGGGCGAACGGGUUGCAAUAAACUGGUGGCUGCGACUGUUUAAUAAAAACACAGCACUCUGCAAACACGAAAGUGGACGUAUAGGGUGUGACGCCUGCCCGGUGCUGGAAGAUUAAAUGAUGGGGUGCAAGCUCUUGAUUGAAGUCCCAGUAAACGGCGGCCGUAACUAUAACGGUCCUAAGGUAGCGAAAUUCCUUGUCGGGUAAGUUCCGACCUGCACGAAUGGCGUAACGAUGGCCACACUGUCUCCUCCCGAGACUCAGCGAAGUUGAAGUGUUUGUGAUGAUGCAAUCUACCCGCGGCUAGACGGAAAGACCCCAUGAACCUUUACUGUAGCUUUGCAUUGGACUUUGAAUCAAUCUGUGUAGGAUAGGUGGGAGGCUUUGAAGCGGGGACGCCAGUUCUCGUGGAGCCAUCCUUGAAAUACCACCCUGGUUCAUUUGAGGUUCUAACCUUGGCCCGUUAUCCGGGUCGGGGACAGUGCAUGGUAGGCAGUUUGACUGGGGCGGUCUCCUCCUAAAGUGUAACGGAGGAGUUCGAAGGUACGCUAGGUACGGUCGGACAUCGUGCUAAUAGUGCAAUGGCAUAAGCGUGCUUAACUGCGAGACUGACAAGUCGAGCAGGUACGAAAGUAGGACAUAGUGAUCCGGUGGUUCUGUAUGGAAGGGCCAUCGCUCAACGGAUAAAAGGUACUCUGGGGAUAACAGGCUGAUUCCUCCCAAGAGUUCAUAUCGACGGGGGAGUUUGGCACCUCGAUGUCGGCUCAUCACAUCCUGGGGCUGUAGCCGGUCCCAAGGGUAUGGCUGUUCGCCAUUUAAAGUGGUACGUGAGCUGGGUUUAAAACGUCGUGAGACAGUUUGGUCCCUAUCUGCCGUGGGCGUUGGAAAUUUGAAGGGGGCUGCUCCUAGUACGAGAGGACCGGAGUGGACAGACCUCUGGUGUACCGGUUGUCACGCCAGUGGCAUUGCCGGGUAGCUAAGUCUGGAAGAGAUAACCGCUGAAAGCAUCUAAGCGGGAAACUUGCCUUAAGAUGAGAUUUCCCAGAGCCUUGAGCUCUUUGAAGGGUCGUUCGAGACCAGGACGUUGAUAGGUCAGGUGUGGAAGUGCAGUAAUGCAUUAAGCUAACUGAUACUAAUUGCCCGUACGGCUUGUCCCUAUAACCUUAGCAGGUUAU